rnacentral:rRNA from 1 species
UUAAGUUUGAUCCUGGCUCAGACGAACCGCUGGCGGCCAGGCCUUAACCCAUGCAAGUCGAGCGCGCCUUUCGGGGUGAGCGGGCGGACGGGUUAGUACCGCGUGGGAAUAUACCCUUUUCUACGGAAUAGCCUCUGGAAACGGAGAGUAAUACCGUAUGAGCCCUUCGGGGGAAAGAUUUAUCGGGAAAGGAUUAGCCCGCGUUAGAUUAGGUAGUUGGUGGGGUAAUGGCCUACCAAGCCUACGAUCUAUAGCUGGUUUUAGAGGAUGAUCAGCAACACUGGGACUGAGACACGGCCCAGACUCCUACGGGAGGCAGCAGUGGGGAAUCUUGGACAAUGGGGGCAACCCUGAUCCAGCCAUGCCGCGUGAGUGAUGAAGGCCUUAGGGUCGUAAAGCUCUUUCGCCUGUGAAGAUAAUGACGGUAGCAGGUAAAGAAACCCCGGCUAACUCCGUGCCAGCAGCCGCGGUAAUACGGAGGGGGUUAGCGUUGUUCGGAAUUACUGGGCGUAAAGCGCACGUAGGCGGACCAGAAAGUUGGGGGUGAAAUCCCGGGGCUCAACCCCGGAACUGCCUCCAAAACUAUUGGUCUAGAGUUCGAGAGAGGUGAGUGGAAUUCCAAGUGUAGAGGGUGAAAUUCGUAAAUAUUUGGAGGAACACCAGUGCGAAGGCGGCUUCACUGGCUCGAUACUGACGCUUG